rnacentral:lncRNA from 1 species
AGGCUAUGAGUUAAUAAUUGUAGUUGUUGUAGAAGUUAUGGUAUUGAAGGAGCACUCAUACUUUUACAUUUUUGUUAUAAAUGUAUCAACAUGAUUAUAAGGCCUUGAUAAGUGCUUUAUUUCUUAUAUUUUUAGACCAUUUUUAUUUGGCUUUUGUAAGGAAAGUUAAUUUCAAAGAGCCUUAUUACUUUACUUUCUUUAUUUUCAGUUUU